rnacentral:pre_miRNA from 1 species
GGGGGGAGCACAGGAUCCUGGGCUGUGUCCCCCAGCGCCCUGGGCUCUGGGGCCUGCACCGCUGGGAUCGCGCUCCGGGGCGCCCGGCCUCCU